CCUACGGGAGGCAGCAGUGGGGAAUAUUGCUCAAUGGGCGCAAGCCUGAAGCAGCCAAGUCGCGUGAAGGAUGACUGCCCUACGGGUUGUAAGCUUCUUUUGUAACGGAGUAAAGUUCGGCACGUGUGCCUUUUUGUAUGUACUUUAUGAAUAAGGAUCGGCUAACUCCGUGCCGGCAGCCGCGGUAAUACGGAGGAUCCGAGCGUUAUCCGGAUUUAUUGGGUUUGAAGGGAGCGUAGACGGGUUGUUAAGUCAGGUGUGAAAGCUUGCGGCUCAACCGUAAAAUUGCAUUUGAUACUGGGAGACUUGAGUACAGUUGAGGUAGGCGGAAUUCGUGGUGUAGCGGUGAAAUGCGUAGAUAUCACGAAGAACUCCGAUUGCGAAGGCAGCCUACUAAACUGCAACUGACAUUGAUGCUCGAAAGCGUGGGGAGCAAACAGGAUUAGAUACCCCUGUAGUC
rnacentral:rRNA from 1 species